rfam:Triticum aestivum genome assembly, contig: Triticum_aestivum_CS42_TGACv1_scaffold_129521_2BL
UUUGUACUCCAUCCGUCCAGAAAUACUUGUCAAAAAAAUGGAUAAAAAUGAAUGUAUCUAGAACUAAAAUAGGUCUAGAUACAUACAUUUCUCCGACAAGUAUUUCCGGACGGAGGGAGUAUCUA